ACUCAAAUGAAUUGACGGGGGCCCGCACAAGCGGCGGAGCAUGUUGCUUAAUUCGAUGCAACGCGAAGAACCUUACCUAGGCUUGACAUGUACGGAAAUCUCGCAGAGAUGCGGGGUGCCUUUGGCGUCGUGCACAGGUGGUGCAUGGUUGUCGUCAGCUCGUGUCGUGAGAUGUUGGGUUAAGUCCCGCAACGAGCGCAACCCUCGUUCUAUGUUGCCAGCGGAUUAUGCCGGGGACUCAUAGGAGACUGCCGGGGUCAACUCGGAGGAAGGUGGGGAUGACGUCAAAUCAUCAUGCCCCUUAUGUCUAGGGCUGCAAACAUGCUACAAUGGCCGGUACAAAGGGCUGCGAUACCGUGAGGUGGAGCGAAUCCCAAAAAGCCGGUCUCAGUUCGGAUUGGGGUCUGCAACUCGACCCCAUGAAGUUGGAGUCGCUAGUAAUCGCAGAUCAGCAACGCUGCGGUGAAUACGUUCCCGGGCCUUGCACACACCGCCCGU
rnacentral:rRNA from 1 species